GCGGGGAGCCUGCUUCCUCCUCUCUCUCUCUCUGCCUACUUGUGAUCUCUCUCUCUGUCAAACAAAUAAAUAAAAUCUUUAAAAAAAAAAAAAAAAGAAACCAAGUUAUACCAAGUCUUCCCCUCUACCUUCAGGGAGUACUACAGAAUGCUGUUCUCAGAUGCUGUUUUCCUUGCUCCAGAGACAGCCUUGAUGAUCUUUGUCACUCUUCAAGCCAGCAAAGCAUUCCUGUCUUGACAAUAGCAAGGUCUCCAGGAUCCGGAGGGUCUUCUAUAGCACAAGAAAGUCCUUUCCAACACCUCCCUUUUUCCGUCCCUCCCUCAACUCAGAAGUAUAUGGUCAGCAAUGCCUCACAGUGCUAGUGCAGCAGCUCGCUCUGCCCAAGGUUGCGGUCCUUAUGCUUUAAUAAAACCUCCUUUUUUUU
rnacentral:lncRNA from 1 species